UCUUCCACAAAACCCAAGCUAUCUCCCCAGCUGAGAGCUGUGCUGGGAUACCUGCUCAAGCGCUUUCUCCCCUUGCCAGCGAGACUACAGCUGCACAAACAGGAGCAGAAGAAAAGGGCUAUUCUUGUUUGCUGCUUUCAGGAGGAGG